rnacentral:rRNA from 1 species
GAUUUCUGGCGAACCGGCCCAACCCGAUACUGUAUAGUGUUGAGUGCUGAGUCGUGUUUGUCAUCCUUCCGGAAAGCUGCGUCUACCAUUCAGUUGGCCGGACGUACGUGAUCCGGAUCUAUUACUUUGAAAAAAUUAGAGUGUUUAAAGCAGGCUUACGCUAUGAAUACAUUAGCAUGGAAUAAUAAUUUAGGACUUUGGUUCUAUUUUGUUGGUUUCUAGGACUGAAGUAAUGAUUGAUAGGGAUAGUUGGGGGUGCUAGUAUUCCGCGGCCAGAGGUGAAAUUCUUGGAUUCGCGGAAGACUAACUACUGCGAAAGCAUU